rnacentral:rRNA from 1 species
GUGCCAGCAGCCGCGGUAAUACGUAGGGGGCGAGCGUUGUCCGAAUUCACUGGGCGUAAAGCGCGCGUAGGCGGACCUUUAAGUCAGAGGUGAAAUGCCGAGGCUCAACCUCGGAACUGCCUUUGAAACUGGGGGUCUUGAGGUAUGGAGAGGGAAGUGGAAUUCCAGGUGUAGCGGUGAAAUGCGUAGAUAUCUGGAGGAACACCCGUGGCGAAGGCGGCUUCCUGGUCAUAUCCUGACGCUGAGGUGCGAAAGCUAGGGGAGCGAACGGGAUUAGAUACCCCGGUAGUCCUAGCCGUAAACGAUGGAUACUAGGUGUUAGAGGUAUCGACCCCUCUAGUGCCGCAGCUAACGCAUUAAGUAUCCCGCCUGGGGAGUACGACCGCAAGGUUGAA